rfam:Picea glauca, whole genome shotgun sequence.
AUGGUUGUUCUUAGUUGGUGGAACAAUUUGUCUCUUUAAUUAUGUUAACGAAUGAGACCUCAACCUACUAACUAGAUAUGUGGAGCUUCCCCUUCAUGACUAACUUCUUAUAGGGGAUAUAGUUAUUCAAGCUAUGGAAUUUUGAGGCAAUAAUAGGUCUGUGA